AAUAGAUACCCUGGUAGUCCACGCCGUAAACGAUGAGUGCUAAGUGUUAGGGGGUUUCCGCCCCUUAGUGCUGCAGCUAACGCAUUAAGCACUCCGCCUGGGGAGUACGGUCGCAAGACUGAAACUCAAAGGAAUUGACGGGGGCCCGCACAAGCGGUGGAGCAUGUGGUUUAAUUCGAAGCAACGCGAAGAACCUUACCAGGUCUUGACAUCCCAUUGACCACUAUGGAGACAUAGUUUUCCCUUCGGGGACAACGGUGACGGGUGGUGCAUGGUUGUCGUCAGCUCGUGUCGUGAGAUGUUGGGUUAAGUCCCGCAACGAGCGCAACCCUUGUUCUUAGUUGCCAUCAUUUAGUUGGGCACUCUAAGGAGACUGCCGGUGACAAACCGGAGGAAGGUGGGGAUGACGUCAAAUCAUCAUGCCCCUUAUGACCUGGGCUACACACGUGCUACAAUGGACGGUACAAACGGUUGCCAACCCGCGAGGGGGAGCUAAUCCGAUAAAACCGUUCUCAGUUCGGAUUGUAGGCUGCAACUCGCCUACAUGAAGCC
rnacentral:rRNA from 1 species